CUGAGGGACCGCGCGGGCCCGGCCCUGGCUAGGCUCGAGGAAGAGCCGCAGCAGCCCAGCUUUGGCCUCCUGAGGGGCGAGGCGGGCUGGCCUGCCUGGCACCCGGCCACGCUCCCAGCCUGCCGCCCUGGCGAGCCCAGCGACCCGCCAGAGACAGCACGUGCCAGCCUGGCCGUGAGCGCGGCUCGGUCCCGGCUUCCUAGCGCUACGCUGGCCGGGCCAGCCCCACGCUCCCCUCAGCCGGUGCCGGCCCACGGCCGUACUCCGCCAGGGGGACGCUGGGGAUUGGUGAAGCGCGGCCCUUUGUUUCCCAGCCGGUCGGAUACAGUCCGUUCCGCGGGGAAAGGCUGAUUUACCUUUCAUCGCCUAAUUUACCAGAGAGCAGUUACUAUACAGAAGACUUAUUUCUCACUUUCCCUAUCAACCACUGAGAAGAUGGCUGUGUAUGAGACCAUAGUAUGUAGGUAGCUAUCCUCAAAGACUCCAUUUUUAAGUAAUGUGGACAGGUACCUCAGAAACACUCACAUGGAAUGGUGACAGGCACCCCUUCUGGACUGCUACACAAAGGCGCAAGCCAAAUGGAUCGGCUGAUGUGAUUCCCGACAAUCCAAUCCAUCUAUUACUCCUAGGGGGAUUCUGUGCCACUGUGCAAUGCAGAAUUUUGCAGAAAUUAACGUAUGCGCAGAGUUUCCUUUCCCUCACAGAAAUGGACUGCAGUGCUGCUGGAUGCCACUAAGGGCUGCUGGAUCCAGCAGAGCCCAGUUCACACAUAGAAGACACUGCUUGGGGAAGAAGAAGGGAGCUAGAUUGCUAGAGGGUUCCUGACAGCUGCAGUUCCCAACAUGCCCUGAGGGAACGAGUGGGCAGUGCACAGGAAACACCAUGCAAGCCUUGGACAAUACAUCAGGCCAUUUCUCCUUCUGGAUCCCUGUAGUAAUGCUUAUAAUGUGCUGUAAAAUAAAGUGUAUGUUAAAAGAUGGCUAAAGAAACUAAAAAGGAAAAGCGUUCAUUUUUACAUCAUGUAAAAUAAGUGACACCUUUGCAAAUAUCGUAUUUCCAAGCAUGUUGGAGGGAGGGUGGAUGUGGGAGUACCAUUAAGAGCAACUAAAUAUCAAGUCUGUAAAAUCGAGACACCCACCAAAAUGCAUUCACAGGAAAAUUUCUAAUGACUUUUCUUUGUAAUGAUUCACAAAGAAACCUGAACUUUGAAUGAAAACCCCGUAUUUAAAGAAAGAAAGAAAUGUUGAAAUGAAAGAAUCACGGCAUGCUCUCCAAAUAUGUAAUUAUGGGUAGUUAAUGAGUAAUAGUAUAUUACCUAUACCACAGGUGAGAAUACUUAGGCCAAGGCCUUGCUAGCAUAAAUGUGUGCGGUUUUUGGGUUUUGCAACUUAUUUUACAUAAAAUUGUUGAUGUGCUUAAAAUAAUAAUAUUGCUAACAAUGUGCUGCAAGUUUUGAGGUUAAAACACACCUGUCACAACCACCAUAUAUGCUUCCCUCCCUUUCUUUUUCCCUGGGACGACCCAGAGCAGGGUGACAUAUAAAUGACAUGACCAAGAAACUGAAACCCCCAGGGAAAAAUUGCAGAAGCUGGUAAUUGAAGCUUGCAUGUGCAUAAUGUACAGCUUACAAAAAACCCAAAGGGUUAAUAGACAUUUGGAUAAAGAUUAAGUAAUUUGUAAUGUAGAAAUGUAUAGAAGACCUAAGCGAACCUGGGCCCAAAGUGGAGAAAUAUUGGCCCCUAAACUGAAGAAUGCAACUGAAGGACCAGAUGAAAGCGUCAUAGAAGGCGACAACAGUGCACGGAAGGACUUCACAGUGCCCCAGUGUGACAGAAUACACCCCAUAUUCACAACCUAUAUACUAUUGUAAUAAUGUUUGUACAAAGCAUGUCUUUUAAGGUAUCAUUUGAAAACUCAUAAUUUGCUUUAAAUUCUGUGCAAGCAAUA